AUGAAUACUACUAGCACCAAAUACAGAUUUGAAAUCGGACAGCAUUUAUCAACACCACAACAAGACGGAAUUUUGGGUAAAUUCAAACACAUGAGCGAACAUGAUACUUACUACUUGGACAACAACGCUGUGCGAGGAAGCAAGAGCAAACACACUGUAACCGAGGGAACUGCAGCUAAGAUAGCUAGCGACAAUUCUACCAGUGAAGACCAAGACGAAGGCGAAAUGCAGAGCAGACAGAGUCGUCCAUGGAUCCGGCACCACGGCCUAGAGCUAGAGGAGGCGCCUCUGCUGCAGCCUCAUCUCCUCGUAGAACCUCUCGAUGAACCGCUCGGCGCGGCCGUCCACCUCCUCGUCCCCCUCGAACUCCUCCGCCACCUCCACCCCCUCCUCGCCGUCGGACACCUCCUCCUCGCCGUACCCGUACGACGCGCCGUCGUCAGCCGCCCGCUCGUCCUCCUGCAGAGCCUGGGGCAGGGGCAGCAGGCCGUCGAGCACGGCGACGUCGAUCCCGCCGUCCCCGUCGAAGCCGCCGAAGCCGCACCCGCCGCCGCAGAGCAGCGCGGCGAGGACCGUCCUGGCCCGGCUCCGCCGCCUGGCGCGCCACGCGGAGACGCCGGGCGGGCGGGGCAGGAGCAGCGGGGAGCCGGACGGGGAGAACUGGUACUCGCCCACGUAGGCGUAGUUGUAGUGGCGCAGGCGGCGCGCGCGGCGCCUCUUGAAGAGGAGCAGGGUCGUCGCCGCCCUGGCCUUGGAGAGCGGGGUGAGCGGCAGGGUGAGGAUGGCCAUGGCCCUGCCGAGGAUGCGGGGCGCGGAGGAAGAAGACCUCGGCAUGGCCGGCCGGGUUCUUGGCUUGUCUGGUUUCCCUCUCUUUGUCACAUUCGAACUGGGCCAAGGUGGCGGACACAGUGA
rnacentral:rRNA from 1 species